GCCUUCGUGGUGUAACGGUAGCACACUCGACGCGUAUUCGAGAGAUUCCAGGUUCGAGUCCCGGCGAAGGCA
rnacentral:tRNA from 1 species